rnacentral:rRNA from 1 species
AGAGUUUGAUCCUGGCUCAGAACGAACGCUGGCGGCAGGCCUAACACAUGCAAGUCGAGCGCACCUUCGGGUGAGCGGCGGACGGGUUAGUAACGCGUGGGGACGUGCCCUUCUCUACAAUGGUGAGCUAAUACCGAAUACGCCCUACGGGGGAAAGCGGGGGAUCUUCGGACCUCGCGCUAUCAGAUGAGCCUGCGUUGGAUUAGCUAGUUGGUGAGGUAAUGGCUCACCAAGGCGACGAUCCAUAGCUGGUCUGAGAGGACGAUCAGCCACACUGGGACUGAGACACGGCCCAGACUCCUACGGGAGGCAGCAGUGGGGAAUAUUGGACAAUGGGCGAAAGCCUGAUCCAGCAAUGCCGCGUGGGUGAAGAAGGCCUGCGGGUUGUAAAGCACUUUCAGUAGGGAAGAAAGGUCAUGGGCUAAUAGUCCACUGUGUUGACGUUACCUACAGAAGAAGCACCGGCUAACUCCGUGCCAGCAGCCGCGGUAAUACGGAGGGUGCGAGCGUUAAUCGGAAUUACUGGGCGUAAAGCGCGCGUAGGCGGUUCUGUAAGUCGAAUGUGAAAGCCCUGGGCUUAACCUGGGAACUGCAUUCGAUACUGGGUAGCUAGAGUAUGUUAGAGGCAAGUGGAAUUCCGGGUGUAGCGGUGAAAUGCGUAGAUAUCCGGAGGAACACCAGUGGCGAAGGCGGCUAACUGGUAUAACACUGACGCUGAGGUACGAAAGCGUGGGGAGCGAACGGGAUUAGAUACCCCGGUAGUCCACGCCCUAAACGAUGAGAACUAGCUGUUGGUUGCAUAAUUCACUCAGUAGCGAAGCUAACGCGUUAAGUUCUCCGCCUGGGGAGUACGACCGCAAGGUUGAAACUCAAAGGAAUUGACGGGGGCCCGCACAAGCGGUGGAGCAUGUGGUUUAAUUCGAUGCAACGCGAAGAACCUUACCAUCCCUUGACAUCCUCAGAAUUUGUCGUAAUGACUUAGUGCCUUUUAGGAACUGAGAGACAGGUGCUGCACGGCUGUCGUCAGCUCGUGUCGUGAGAUGUUGGGUUAAGUCCCGCAACGAGCGCAACCCCUAUCCUUAUUUGCCAGCACGUAUGGUGGGAACUCUAGGGAGACUGCCGGUGAUAAGCCGGAGGAAGGUGGGGACGACGUCAAGUCAUCAUGGCCCUUACGGGAUGGGCUACACACGUGCUACAAUGGCAGUGACAAUGGG